AAUCUUGCGCAAUGGCCGAAAGGCUGACGCAGCGACGCCGCGUGCGGGAGGACGCCCUUCGGGGUGUAAACCGCUGUCAGAGGGGACGAAAGCCACCGGGAGGGAAUGCCCGUGUGGAAGGACGGUACCCUCAGAGGAAGCACCGGCUAACUCCGUGCCAGCAGCCGCGGUAAUACGGAGGGUGCGAGCGUUGUUCGGAAUCACUGGGCGUAAAGGGCGCGUAGGCGGUCUGGUAAGCGUGUGGUGAAAGCCCGGGGCUCAACCCCGGGUCUGCCGUGCGAACUGCCGGACUUGAGCACUGUAGAGGCAGGUGGAAUUCCGAGUGUAGCGGUGGAAUGCGUAGAGAUUCGGAGGAACACCGGUGGCGAAGGCGGCCUGCUGGGCAGUGUCUGACGCUGAGGCGCGACAGCGUGGGGAGC
rnacentral:rRNA from 1 species